rnacentral:rRNA from 1 species
GAUGAACGCUGGCGGCGUGCCUAAUACAUGCAAGUCGAGCGAACAGACGAGGAGCUUGCUCCUAUGACGUUAGCGGCGGACGGGUGAGUAACACGUGGAUAACCUACCUAUAAGACUGGGAUAACUUCGGGAAACCGGAGCUAAUACCGGAUAAUAUAUUGAACCGCAUGGUUCAAUAGUGAAAGACGGUUUUGCUGUCACUUAUAGAUGGAUCCGCGCCGCAUUAGCUAGUUGGUAAGGUAACGGCUUACCAAGGCAACGAUGCGUAGCCGACCUGAGAGGGUGAUCGGCCACACUGGAACUGAGACACGGUCCAGACUCCUACGGGAGGCAGCAGUAGGGAAUCUUCCGCAAUGGGCGAAAGCCUGACGGAGCAACGCCGCGUGAGUGAUGAAGGUCUUCGGAUCGUAAAACUCUGUUAUUAGGGAAGAACAAAUGUGUAAGUAACUAUGCACGUCUUGACGGUACCUAAUCAGAAAGCCACGGCUAACUACGUG